UACGUAGGGUCCGAGCGUUGUCCGGAGUUACUGGGCGUAAAGCGCGCGCAGGCGGCUUCGCGCGCCCGACGUGAAAGCCCCCGGCUUAACCGGGGAGAGUCGUUGGGGACGGCGGAGCUUGAGGGCGGGAGAGGUCGGUGGAAUUCCCGGUGUAGUGGUGAAAUGCGUAGAGAUCGGGAGGAACACCUGUGGCGAAGGCGGCCGACUGGGCCGACCCUGACGCUGAGGCGCGAAGGCGUGGGGAGCGAACGGG
rnacentral:rRNA from 1 species